rnacentral:lncRNA from 10 species
AGUAUAAGGAAGGGCCUAAGAAUCUCAAAGGAACUAAAGAGACCCCAAGCCUUGGGCAGCAUAUGUGAGUCUGAAGCAGCCUCAUCACCAGGGCCCUGGAGAAAGUAAGGACCCAGAAAGCUGAGGCACAAAGCACUCACCUUUGGAGGAGGAAGGUCCACAAAAGCAGCAUGGUGGAAACACAAUUGGUAAUGACCCAUAUGAUUAGGUAGGUUUGAGGGGUCUGUGAAAAUAGGAAAAGGCCCCAAGGGUAGAAUGUCAGGGGAAAUAAGUAAGGAAGAGAGGGACAGGGUUAAGGAAAACCAGGGAUGGGAGAAGAGGAGAGGUGACAGUCCCAGAGCCCUUACAAUAAGCCAGAUAGGGUAACGCAUCUGCUGCAGCAGCUGGCAGUCGUUGGUGGUGACCGAAUCCACCCCUGCACACCAAAGCAGAGAGAAGAGCCAGGGCUUGUUCACUACAAAUAGGUUCACCGAGACAUUAUCCUUAUGCAAUGCCCUGUGAAGGUGGGAAAGAAAAUAGGGAAUGUCCAGAAUCAUGGUGCACAGGACAUGGGAGGCAGCCCCCUGCCUGUGCUUGAAUCUACAGUGCCACUGCCAAGGAGGUAUCAGCUCUGCCUUUCCAUAGCAGCCCCUGACCAACAAUGAUUUUCCUUUCAUAGCUGAACUCUGUCUUCUGGUGGAUUCCACCCAUGGGUCCUAGCUUUGCUAUCUGGGGCCACACAAUGUGUCUCUCCCCUGGGUCCUGAGCAGAGGCCCUGUCUCCCUGAGCCUUCUCUUCUCUAGGCCCCACAGCCCCAGCUCCUUCAGCCAUUACUCUUAUCAUUUCCUUCCCUGUACAAGCCUCUCUAAUAUGAUAUAUUCCAAUUUAUCAAUGUUCCUUUGAAAAUAUGGGGCCCGUCUCUGAAAAUAAUAUCCCAGAUGGGCUUGGACCAGCCUUUUUUUUUUUGAGACAGGAUCUUGCUCUGGAGUGCAGUGGCAGUCUUGGCUCACUGCAGCUUGACCUCCUAGGCUCAGCCUCCAGUGUAGCUGGGACUAUAGGUGGGCACCAC